rnacentral:rRNA from 1 species
UAAGUAAGCGGAGGAAAAGAAACUAACUAGGAUUCCCUUAGUAAUGGCGAAUGAACAGGGAUCAGCUCAGUGCCAAAUCGGAAUCACUUGUGGUUCUGAAAUGUGGCUUGAAGGCAGUACCAGUGGCAUCGCGGACGAAAGUCUCUUGGAAAAGAGCGUCAUAGAGGGUGAGAAUCCCGUGAGUCGUUCGCCGUUUGUCACGUACGGUCUGCGUUCUAACGAGUCGCGUUCCUUGGGAUUGGAGCGUAAACGGGUGGUAAAUUUCAUCCAAAGCAAAAUAUAUACUCGAGACCGAUAGCACAAAAGUACCGUGAGGGAAAGGUGAAAAGAACUUUGAGGAGAGGGUUAAAUAGUGCCUGAAAUCGUUGAGAAGGAAGCGGAUGCCGCCGUUGCAUAUGCUGAUUGUAGGAUUGCUGCUCGCUCCUGUCUUCUGCUACUCAUUCACAGACCUGGUCGUGUUGAGCAGUUGUUUGGCAGAUGUUAGUGGUGUUUCCUACUUUCAGUCGUCAGCAUCACUGGCUGAGUGGAAAUAAUCCUUGGAUGCUAAUUGGUUCGCUAUCUGUGAAUUGGUUGCUUCCUUGCGAUACUCACUACUCGGUCAGUGAGGAAGUGCGUUUGCUGGUCAACGAGCUUUCUAACUGUCAUUACCCUGCGCUUUUCGAUUCGUCGAGUGGCCAGGAUGUGGCUUUGAGAUUGUUCGCACUUAGUAAUCGCGAUGCUGGCUUCCAACGGUUGCCUCCGGCCCGUCUUGAAACACGGACCAAGGAGUCUAACGUAUGUGCGAGUGUGUGAGUGGCAAACUUAUACGCGUAAUGAAAGUGAGGCCGUAUGGCCAUGUUGGGGUCACCAACAACCGACCUUGAUCUUCGGUGAAAGGUUUGAGUAUGAGCAUAUCCGUUAGGACCCGAAAGAUGGUGAACUAUGCCUGAGCAGGGUGAAGCCAGGGGAAACUCUGGUGGAGGCUCGUAGCGAUA